AUGAUGUAUAAAUUGCGGACCUGUAGAGUUACUAUACCCCUAUACCCUGUUGUAUGUAUUUUCAGCUGCUGCUCCACUCAGAAUUGUCACAGGGGAAAGGAUGCUGUCAUAAAUCACUACGAAAUGGUGUUGAAUUCUAUUUACACCGCACGCAGUUGCAGAAAGGUUACAUGUCUGUCUUUAUCCUGCCUGUCUUCUACCCUUUGCGGGAAUGAAGUGGCCACUGAGAAGAUGAGCAAGAAAGUGUGAGUAUUUGUUAUACAUCUGCCCAAUACCCAUGUCCUUUCAGCAAAUGUUUCAUCUCCUUUUAAAUAUUUUAUAUUUCUUUUGUGUUUUUUUUUUUUUUUUUUUUUUUUUAUGAUCUGAAUAUUUCUUUUUAUAUACCUGAGAAAUCAACUUUUAUGAGAUCAAUUAUGAAGCAAAGUAUAUGAAUUCAAUGACAGAAGAUGAUAUUCACGAUUACAUGAACUUAUGUCUGCUAAGAGAUAACUUUUUGAUUUCCAGGAAAAACAUAUUCAGAUCUCGGAAAGCAAGAAACUGAAAGAACCAACAUCAUUUCAACCCCAUAUAGAUAGUACUUGCCAGUGGGAACAACGCCGAAGUUACAUGCGGUUUGUCAGAUAGCGUGGUGCUUGGCACAAAAAAAAAUAGCUGUGCUUGGCACAGCUUGGUUGAAUUGGGACUAUUAGAAGAGGUAAUUUGAAAGUCCAGUGCCCGUCAUGACUGCAUUACCGAGGUUGUGUGGCACAGGCCCUGUUGCUGAGUACCAUGCUAUGUGAUCUUAAUGGUGACUAAAAGGAAGAAGUAUAGGUGACAGCUUU
rnacentral:lncRNA from 1 species